rnacentral:hammerhead_ribozyme from 1 species
ACCCAGCUGACGAGUCCCAAACAGGGUGAAACGUGUGUCCUGGAU